AGCCCAGACUCCUACGGGAGGCAGCAGUGGGGAAUAUUGCACAAUGGGGGAAACCCUGAUGCAGCGACGCCGCGUGAGCGAUGAAGUAUUUCGGUAUGUAAAGCUCUAUCAGCAGGGAAGAAGAUGACGGUACCUGACUAAGAAGCCCCGGCUAACUACGUGCCAGCAGCCGCGGUAAUACGUAGAGGGCAAGCGUUAUCCGGAUUCACUGGGUGUAAAGGGAGCGUAGACGGCGACGCAAGUCUGGAGUGAAAGCCCGGGGCCCAACCCCGGGACUGCUCUGGAAACUGCGUCGCUGGAGUACGGGAGGGGCAGGCGGAAUUCCUGGUGUAGCGGUGAAAUGCGUAGAUAUCAGGAGGAACACCGGCGGCGAAGGCGGCCUGCUGGACCGUGACUGACGUUGAGGCUCGAGAGCGUGGGGAGCAAACAGGAUUAGAUACCCCUGUAAU
rnacentral:rRNA from 1 species